rnacentral:rRNA from 1 species
CAGUCGCCACGGUAAAACAGAGGGUGCGAGCGUUAAUCGGAUUUACUGGGCGUAAAGCGUGCGUAGGCGGCUUUUUAAGUCGGAUGUGAAAUCCCUGAGCUUAACUUAGGAAUUGCAUUCGAUACUGGGAAGCUAGAGUAUGGGAGAGGAUGGUAGAAUUCCAGGUGUAGCGGUGAAAUGCGUAGAGAUCUGGAGGAAUACCGAUGGCGAAGGCAGCCAUCUGGCCUAAUACUGACGCUGAGGUACGAAAGCAUGGGGAGCAAACAGGAUUAGAUACCCGGGUAGUCCCUGUCUCUUAUAC